CCUAGUGUUCCAUUUUUGGAUAGGUUGCUAUUACGAUUUUAUUUUGUUUUUAUGCGAAUGUCAUCGUAAUUCUUUUUGUGUAGUGACAACACUGAAGGAGUCGGCAUUUAAACUCUAGUAUUAAAAUCUUGGUGUAGCAGUUAGUUUGUGUUUCAAUUCGUGCUCUUUGCAGAAAUUUUGGGCAAGAAAAUCUUUCGUCGCAAAAUAUUGUCCUUAAAUGAAAUUAUUUCACAACUAGAAGAAGAUGACGAUGUAUUGUCCGCAGAUAUAUACAUAACGCCACCGGAAAAUAACGAUAAGAGCGACGAAGAUAGCGGCGAUGAGGAAUCUGCUAAUAUAAACAAUUUGUCAAGAUGCCAGCUAUUAGCGGAAGCUGAAUUUCGAGCAACAGUAGCAUCUCAUAAUGAAUUGGGCACAGUUGAAGACCUUCUGAAUGACUCAGUCGUAGAUGAAA
rnacentral:lncRNA from 1 species